rnacentral:rRNA from 1 species
AUGAACGCUAGCUACAGGCUUAACACAUGCAAGUCGAGGGGCAGCAUGAACUUAGCUUGCUAAGUUUGAUGGCGACCGGCGCACGGGUGAGUAACACGUAUCCAACCUGCCGAUGACUCGGGGAUAGCCUUUCGAAAGAAAGAUUAAUACCCGAUGGCAUAGUUCUUCCGCAUGGUAGAACUAUUAAAGAAUUUCGGUCAUCGAUGGGGAUGCGUUCCAUUAGGUUGUUGGCGGGGUAACGGCCCACCAAGCCUUCGAUGGAUAGGGGUUCUGAGAGGAAGGUCCCCCACAUUGGAACUGAGACACGGUCCAAACUCCUACGGGAGGCAGCAGUGAGGAAUAUUGGUCAAUGGACGAGAGUCUGAACCAGCCAAGUAGCGUGAAGGAUGACUGCCCUAUGGGUUGUAAACUUCUUUUAUACGGGAAUAAAGUGAGGCACGUGUGCCUUUUUGUAUGUACCGUAUGAAUAAGGAUCGGCUAACUCCGUGCCAGCAGCCGCGGUAAUACGGAGGAUCCGAGCGUUAUCCGGAUUUAUUGGGUUUAAAGGGAGCGUAGGCGGACGCUUAAGUCAGUUGUGAAAGUUUGCGGCUCAACCGUAAAAUUGCAGUUGAUACUGGGUGUCUUGAGUACAGUAGAGGCAGGCGGAAUUCGUGGUGUAGCGGUGAAAUGCUUAGAUAUCACGAAGAACUCCGAUUGCGAAGGCAGCCUGCUGGACUGUAACUGACGCUGAUGCUCGAAAGUGUGGGUAUCAAACAGGAUUAGAUACCCUGGUAGUCCACACAGUAAACGAUGAAUACUCGCUGUUUGCGAUAUACAGUAAGCGGCCAAGCGAAAGCGUUAAGUAUUCCACCUGGGGAGUACGCCGGCAACGGUGAAACUCAAAGGAAUUGACGGGGGCCCGCACAAGCGGAGGAACAUGUGGUUUAAUUCGAUGAUACGCGAGGAACCUUACCCGGGCUUGAAUUGCAACUGAAUGAUGUGGAGACAUGUCAGCCGCAAGGCAGUUGUGAAGGUGCUGCAUGGUUGUCGUCAGCUCGUGUCGUGAGAUGUUGGGUUAAGUCCCGCAACGAGCGCAACCCUUAUUCUUAGUAGCCAGCAGGUAAGGCUGGGCACUCUAAGGAGACUGCCGGGGAUAACCCGGAGGAAGGUGGGGAUGACGUCAAAUCAGCACGGCCCUUACGUCCGGGGCUACACACGUGUUACAAUGGGGGGUACAGAAGGCAGCUACACGGCGACGUGAUGCUAAUCCCUAAAGCCUCUCUCAGUUCGGAUUGGAGUCUGCAACCCGACUCCAUGAAGCUGGAUUCGCUAGUAAUCGCGCAUCAGCCACGGCGCGGUGAAUACGUUCCCGGGCCUUGUACACACCGCCCGUCAAGCCAUGAAAGCCGGGGGUACCUGAAGUGCGUAACCGCGAGGAGCGCCCUAGGGUAAAACUGGUGAUUGGGGCU